rnacentral:rRNA from 1 species
GACGUAGGAGGCGAGCGUUGUCCGGAAUCAUUGGGCGUAAAGAGCGCGCAGGCGGCCCGGCAAGUCGGGUGUGAAAUCCCGGGGCUCAACCCCGGGACUGCAUUCGAUACUGUCGGGCUAGAGGUAGGUAGGGGAGAUCGGAAUUCCUGGUGUAGCGGUGAAAUGCGCAGAUAUCAGGAGGAACACCGGUGGCGAAGGCGGAUCUCUGGGCCUUACCUGACGCUCAGGCGCGAAAGCUAGGGGAGCGAACAGG